rnacentral:ncRNA from 1 species
AGAUGAGAGAUACACCCCGCUCACGGGAAGCCGUGAGCGACGCCCGGCCGGGGCUUCCCCGGCUUCGGCCAGGCCGUGCCUUCGCGCACACAUCCGGGGCCCCGCGCCCCGGGCAUCCUCACCGAUCGGA